rnacentral:rRNA from 1 species
GAUGAAUGCUGGCGGCGUGCCUAACACAUGCAAGUCGAGCGGUAACACUUCGGGUGACGAGCGGCGGACGGCUGAGUAACGCGUGGGAAUUUGCCCCAAAGUGAGGAAUAAGCACCGGAAACGGUGUCUAAUGCCGCAUAUGGUCUUCGGAUUAAAGUCUUCGGACGCUUUGGGAGAAGCCCGCGUUGGAUUAGGUUGUUGGUGAGGUAAUGGCUCACCAAGCCGACGAUCCAUAGCUGGUCUGAGAGGAUGAUCAGCCAGACUGGAACUGAGACACGGUCCAGACUCCUACGGGAGGCAGCAGUGAGGAAUCUUCCACAAUGGGCGAAAGCCUGAUGGAGCAACGCCGCGUGCAGGAUGAAGGCCUUCGGGUCGUAAACUGCUUUUAUGAGUGAAGAAUAUGACGGUAACUCAUGAAUAAGCACCGGCUAACUACGUGCCAGCAGCCGCGGUCAUACGUAGGGUGCAAGCAUUAUCCGGAGUGACUGGGCGUAAAGAGUUGCGUAGGCGGUUAGUUAAGUGAAUAGUGAAAUCUGGUGGCUCAACCAUACAGACUAUUAUUCAAACUGGCUAACUCGAGAGUAGUAGAGGUAACUGGAAUUUCUUGUGUAGGAGUGAAAUCCGUAGAUAUAAGAAGGAACACCAAUGGCGUAGGCAGGUUACUGGGCUAUCUCUGACGCUAAGGCACGAAAGCGUGGGGAGCGAACCGG